rnacentral:rRNA from 1 species
UACGUAGGAUGCAAGCGUUGUCCGGAAUUAUUGGGCGUAAAGAGCGCGCAGGCGGUUUGACAAGUCAGAUGUGAAAGAGGCCGGCUUAACCGGCAAGGGUCAUUUGAAACUGUCAGACUAGAGUACAGCAGAGGAUAGCGGAAUUCCCGGUGUAGUGGUGAAAUGCGUAGAUAUCGGGAGGAACACCAGUGGCGAAGGCGGCUAUCUGGGCUGAAACUGACGCUGAGGCGCGAAGGCUAGGGUAGCAAACAGG